rnacentral:rRNA from 1 species
GACGAACGCUGGCGGCGUGCUUAACACAUGCAAGUCGAACGAAGAGCGAUGGAAGCUUGCUUCUAUCAAUCUUAGUGGCGAACGGGUGAGUAACGCGUAAUCAACCUGCCCUUCAGAGGGGGACAACAGUUGGAAACGACUGCUAAUACCGCAUACGAUCUAAUCUCGGCAUCGAGGAUAGAUGAAAGGUGGCCUCUACAUGUAAGCUUUCACUGAAGGAGGGGAUUGCGUCUGAUUAGCUAGUUGGAGGGGUAACGGCCCACCAAGGCGAUGAUCAGUAGCCGGUCUGAGAGGAUGAACGGCCACAUUGGGACUGAGACACGGCCCAGACUCCUACGGGAGGCAGCAGUGGGGAAUCUUCCGCAAUGGACGAAAGUCUGACGGAGCAACGCCGAGUGAGUGAUGAAGGCCUUCGGGUUGUAAAGCUCUGUUAAUCGGGACGAAAGGCCUUCUUGCGAAUAGUGAGAAGGAUUGACGGUACCGGAAUAGAAAGCCACGGCUAACUACGUG